GGGUUUAGAACGUCGUGAGACAGUUCGGUCCCUAUCUGCCGUGGGCGCUGGAGAACUGAGGGGGGCUGCUCCUAGUACGAGAGGACCGGAGUGGACGCAUCACUGGUGUUCGGGUUGUCAUGCCAAUGGCACUGCCCGGUAGCUAAAUGCGGAAGAGAUAAGUGCUGAAAGCAUCUAAGCACGAAACUUGCCCCGAGAUGAGUUCUCCCUGAGACUUAAAGUCUCCUGAAGGAACGUUGAAGACGACGACGUUGAUAGGCCGGGUGUGUAAGCGCAGCGAUGCGUUGAGCUAACCGGUACUAAUGAACCGUGAGGCUUAACCUUACAACGCCGAAG
rnacentral:rRNA from 1 species